AUUACAGAGUUAUCUAACUCCCAAACCCAUGUGAACUUACCAUUGUUGCCUCGGCAGAACCUACCCGGUACCUACCCUGUAACGACCUACCCUGUAGCGAGUUACCCGGGAACGGCCUACCCUGUAGUGCGCUGCCGGUGGACUUCUAAACUCUUGUUAUUUAUUGUAAUCUGAGCGUCUUAUUUUAAUAAGUCAAAACUUUCAACAACGGAUCUCUUGGUUCUGGCAUCGAUGAAGAACGCAGCGAAAUGCGAUACGUAAUGUGAAUUGCAGAAUUCAGUGAAUCAUCGAAUCUUUGAACGCACAUUGCGCCCAUUAGUAUUCUAGUGGGCAUGCCUGUUCGAGCGUCAUUUCAACCCUUAAGCCUAGCUUAGUGUUGGGAAUCUACUGAGUAAUCGGUAGUUCCCCAAAUGCAACGGCGGAUCUGUGGUAUCCUCUGAGCGUAGUAAUUUUUAUCUCGCUUUUGUUAGGUGCUGCAGCUCCCAGCCGCUAAACCCCCCAAUUUUUUAAUGGUUGACCUCGGAUCAGGUAGGAAUACCCGCUGAACUUAAGCAUAUCAAUAAGCGGAGGAAAAGAAACCAACAGGGAUUGCCCUAGUAACGGCGAGUGAAGCGGCAACAGCUCAAAUUUGAAAUCUGGCCCUUGGGUCCGAAUUGUAAUUUGUAGAGGAUGUUUUUGGUGCGGUAUCUUCCGAGUUCCUUGGAACAGGACGCCUUAGAGGGUGAGAGCCCCGUACGGUUGAAUGCCUAGCCUUUGUAAAACUCCUUCGACGAGUCGAGUAGU
rnacentral:rRNA from 1 species